CAAGAACAGGAUUAACACCAGUGUUACACACAAGAACUAGAUGGUGAAAACUAUGGAUGAGUCUAUGCAUUAUAAUGAGAUAAUAAAACAUAAUGAAGUAAACGGUA